rnacentral:rRNA from 1 species
CGCCUUUUGAUAUAUAUAUAUAAAAGGUCCUGCCUGCCCAGUGACUCUGUUCAACGGCCGCGGUAUCAUGACCGUGCAAAGGUAGCGUAAUCACUUGUCUUUUAAAUAAAGACUAGUAUGAACGGCAACACGAGAGUUCAACUGUCUCACUAAAUUAGUCAGUGAAAUUAAUCUUUCCGUGCAGAAGCGGAAUUAAUGCUAUAAGACGAGAAGACCCUGUGGAGCUUUAAAUCUAAGCUAACAUAUAUAUUAUUAUAGCACACGAUUUUGGGUUGGGGCGACCAUGAGACAAAACAAACCCUCAAGACAUUAACUAGAGAGACAUCUCAACCAAAUAGUAAUACUAACACAUUGACCCAAUAAUUGAUCAACGAACCAAGUUACCCCAGGGAUAACAGCGCAAUCCACUCACAGAGCCCAUAUCGACGAGCGGGUUUACGACCUCGAUGUUGGAUCAGGACCACCUAGUGGUGCAGCAACUACUAAGGGUUCGUUUGUUCAACGAUUAAAGUCCU